UUUGUAUCUGCGACAUAUAUUAUCCCAUCUACAACAAAGUCUCUAGGUCUACCUAUAAGCACAAUACAAAUUUCAUUAUCAACAAUUGACAUAUUUUCAACAACACUUUCAUAAUUUCAACAUUCCAAAUAAAUACACAAACUUACUUAUGUUAUUGGAUACAACUUUAGUAAUUUCUAUGUUUCAAAAUUCAUACUUUACAACAAAAUGCUUUCAUACAUUCAACAUAUUCAACAAAAACACCAAACAAUUUCAACAUUUAAACUACCACAAUAUAAUUGUUGACAUCUCAUGGAUAAAAAUAAGUUUGAAAGCAUCAACAAAAUGCAGCAUACGAUAUCAUAACAAUAUUGAAAGCACAAUCUUAUUUCUAAAACCCGAGAAACAUAACCAAUCAUAAAAAAAAAUUGGAUAAAACUUCAACAACUACAUCAUAUUAUCAACAUUUUAAAAAAAUACACAAACCAAUAUUCGUAAUUGGAUAAAAGGUUCACAAUUAUUCCUUUAUAAAAUUCAUAGAUUACAACAAAAUACUAUCAUACAUUCAACAUGUAUAUAUAAAAAAAAACACAAACCAAUUUCAACAAUUAACCGACCACAAUCGGAUUGUUAACAUCCCAUGAAUAAAAAUAACAUUCAAAGCGUCAACCAACUGUACCAUAUGACAUCACAAUCAGAUUGAAAGCGCAAUCUUAUUUCUGAAAAACGAGCAACAUAACUGAUCAUAAUAAACUAUUGGAUCAAAUAAUCUUAACAAUUAACAUACCAUUAAUAUCUCAUCUUCCUCCAUACAUAACAAGAAGCAAAUGUACCCUUUCACUGUCCAUUAAUUUGAUCACUUUCAAAUAUAUAACUGAAGUUGUUUAAAAAAAUUAAAUGAAAAAUUAAUAGAAACUGAAAUUUUAUAUUUUGAGAACAGAAUCCUUUGAAUUAUACGUUUAAGAUCUUUAUUAAUUAUAUGAAAAUCGUUUAAUGAGAUAUUUCAGGUGAUGAAGAUAACUGAUAAUAACUGACAUCUUUUUUGGGUAGAAGAAUUUUUUUUUUCAUAUAUAUAAUUGAUAUUUUUUAUUUAUUAAAAGGCAAAAAAUGUUUUUAUUUUAUUAUUUAUUCUUAAGAUUUGCUAUAACUCGAUAAAAUGAAAGUUUUGGUAUAAGUUGUAAUUACCUAUCUUAGGAAUGCUAUAUACGUUUUUUCCUAAGCAAAACAUAUGUACAAAAUUCAAAGCCCAACAUCAGGUUCAGACCAAUAGGCCCAUGAUCCCAUAUUAAGCUUAAAAAAAUCUACUACUAAAAACGAAGAGAAAUAUAAAGCAAAAAAGGAAAAAGGAAAGUAACAAUGGUCAAGCUCUUCAAGUGCUCCCAACAAAUUCAUUUGCAGAUCAAAUGGUGAUUUUCAAGGAUUCUUCUAUGGUAUGAUUCUUAACUUGUGUUUACACAUUCUCCAUUACUUUAUUGAUGAUUUCAUCUCUAAAUCAUGGUUAUAAAUUAGAAAUUCUGGGGAUUUUGGAGCUAAAAUUAUGAAAUUAUAUUUUAGGUUUUAAAGAUCGAUCUGAACUAGGUUUUUGAUAAAAUUUCAUAUUUGAGUUCCUUAAGUUUUGGAUAACAUGAUUUUAAGAUAAAAUUCAUUUUAUCUUUUAGUCUCGGGUUUUACUUUUUGGGCUCAGAAUAGAUGUAUAACAAUAUGGGUGUCCAUGGAUUCAUUUUCUUAUGUAGAAUAUGUAUUUAAUUAUAUUAUGCUCGUUUGAAAGUUUUACAGAUGGUUAAGUCUUUGAUUUGACCUGAUGAGCUUCAGUUAAGGCAAGUUGAGACUUUCUUUGACUUUUUUUAAAGUGGUGGUGUGCUAAUUGAUCAUAAAAGAAAGUAAAUAAUAAUAAUAAGGGUACCGUAUAGUUUAGAUCACACACAUCUAUAUAGUUACAUGGUUAUGUGAAGGGUUAAAGUAAAUAAUGGACUUAUUUGGGCUAACUUUUUGAAAUUUGGAUUAUGUUUCAUGAUAUGUAUAGGAGUCAGAUAUUGAUUGUCUCAUUAAUCUUGGACUUCUAUGUAUAAUGGAUAGACAUGAAAAGAGAUUAUUACAUGACAUGCAAAUAUUUUGUGAAUGAAGACAUUCUUAUAUUCAUUUUGAUGUGCAUAUCUAUGAGGCAUUUCUACCGUAUCUUCAUACAAUGUCACUUACAUAUUAUCUAUUGAAUCAUAUGCUAAUAAUCUAAUGGCCGUAAGGGCAUGAUCCGAAGGUAAUUAGAUACAUAGCCUUCUUGAUGUACCCUCCAAUGGACUAAUAAGGUGUAAUGAACCUCUAAGUCAUUUUAAAAAAUUUCAUGCAUUUUUCUUAUUUUGACCUUUCUCGUAGCUUUUGUACUGUAUUUGUGACUUACUGGGUUAGGUGAAUUUGUUCUCGAGGAGUUUAAUUAUGAUUUAAACUAAUUUCUCUAUUUUGGAGCAUUUAAAGUUGGGAAGUUCGACUUGGGUUAACAUUUGUAGUAAACUAUCUCAGAUGGAAAUUUGGAAAAUUCUGUUAGCUCUGGAAUAUGGAUUUUGGGCUAGGGAGCCUUUGGUUCUGGUAGCAAGGCUUUCAGACCCAUUUUGGAUUCUUGGGUAGAAGUUUGGUAAUUUUGGGUAAGUACUAACUUUGCUCAAGAUUUUGUCAAGAAACCUUCAUUUGUUCAUUUCAUCAAUUCCAUUAAGUCGAGAAUGCCAUUUUUAGUUAGGUAGCAUGUUUGGUUUGAGUUUGUGGGGUCUUGAACAAGUCUUGAGGGAUCGAUCAAGAAUUAUUCUAUUUGAUGAAAGCUACUGAUGCAGCUAUAUUCUGGUUCAAUGGCUCCUUGAGAGAUUGGCUUGCACCAGUAGUGCCACUCUUGAAAAUAAAUGGUUGCUCUAGAAAAGGCUACUAACAUUAGCAUCUUUUGCUCUUGUGGAUCUUCCACCGCUCCUGCAGAGCCACUACUAUAAAAAGAGUUCAACUUCAGAAGAGAGUGCACUAUGCACCUGGCUUCGCUUAAGCAGAGAUUUACCAUUGUGGUGGGUCCACUCUUGUGGAAUUUUAUCCACUUAAUUGGAUCCCCACACAUUAGUAACAUCCGCUUCUCCUAAGGAUUCAUUAUUGAAGCAACUUCGUUCUUUUGGCCAAACCUACAAAGAAUUGACGAUUAUUUUGCAUAUACUCUCAGCCUCUCCAUUUUAUUUUAAGUUCUGUUUGCUACGUGUGGGAGCUCAGUUUAAAGGGAUAUUCAGAUUUUCUUGAGGGAUUGCUAAGAUUUCUUUCUCCUCGUUUACAUUUCCAUAACUCCUCUAGCUUGAUUCCCAUGACCAAUUCAUGAAUUGGAUUUUGAGAUUCUAGAUUUCAGCAUUAAAGUAAACUUUUUUAGACCAACUGGAGUCUAAAUUGAAUUCCAUCUUUGCCUGACUUUCUGGCAUGAGUUUCUUACCCUUUGGAGAGGAUAUUUACAAGUAUAUUUGUUUUCAUCGAAGAGCCCUAAGGGUCGGGUUUUGACUAGUGUUCUAACUCGAACUUUAGUUAUUUAUAUGUGUAUCAUUGUUCUCAUCUUAAUAAGGAGGUUCUACUUUGAUAGAAUGGCAAUAUUCUGAGGCUCAGCGGAAAUCUUCCCUGUGAUGAUUUAUGGGUUGUCGGUUAGCUUUGAGGUAGGUUACGGCUUCCUUCACUUUAGAGUUGAUACAGUUCGAUGGUAUAUUUUGUAAAUAAAAUGUUUGAUAGGGGAUUUGUAGGGUAGAUGUAGGGUUAUUUUGCUCUUUCUAAUUUUAUUAGCCUAUCUCGGCUAUCUUAAGUUAGAAUAGUUGCUUGAACCUUAGUUUAGGGUGUUUAUCUUGAUGUUAGUACUAGUUUAGCGAUCCUUAAUUUAGGUUGGGUUAGGAUUUCAGGGUAGAGUGGGUAUUUUUUUGUCGUUUUCUUUUCUAUCGCUGUUAUUCUAUAUUUCCUUCCGUUAUGAGGUUUUUGGCCCGAGGCCAUGAAAUUGGGUUAGCUAGACUACAUGAUAGUAUGAAUAUGGCGUGAAUAUUAGUUUUACCCUAAUCUGUGUUUACAUAUCUAUGCAUAUAUACUUGUGUUGGCAGGCAUGCAUUCAUAUAUACAUAUACAUGGAUUGUGGGUCAAUUUACGGAAUAAUACUUAUUUUGUCUUUAAAAAAGGAAUCUCAUCACUGAUAUGAUUUGUUAUUGUCUUUUAAAGAGGGAAUUGUACAACUUUUCUACGAAUCAUGGGUUUUGAGUGAAUUGUAUCAUCUUAUCAUAGAUUGUUGAUUUGGAAAGGUUUAUAUCUUUAAAUUUGGGCCAAGAGAUGAUCUCGACGUGUUUCUCAUUUACUUUCUUAUUGAUGAGUCCGAGGUCAGGGCACUAAAUUUGUUGAUGAUCUCGAGGGGCUUUUGAGUGGCCCGAGGUAUAUGUUCUGGGUUUUACUUUUCUUCAUGGGCCACACAUAGCAUUGCGUCAUCUCAUAGUGCAUGGUAUUUACCAUUUUAUAUUUAUAUUGCAUGUAUUGAUAUUUUGUCUUCUAUUAUUUAUAUUGUGCCUAGAUGGCCAGGAAUUUUUUGCAUGCAAAUGUUUCUUUCUUGGUUAUUUAUAUUAUAUAUUAUCUCCUAAGCUCGAUCGGCCUAUGAUGCCCAUUGUGUACCCCAUUUAUUGGUACUCAUGCUACACUUUUGCAUAUUUUUCUAAUGUAGAUCCUAACCGGAGUCAUUCUCUUGAUCUUAUUUGUCAAGAGGUUACUUUUGAUCGGAACUACGGUGAGUUCUUGGCAUCCGGAGGCUUACCCAUGUCCUUCAUGCACUUUAUUGUCUAUAUGUUGUAUAUGUUUAGAAAACUUUGUAUUAGAUUAAUAUAGUAGCUCUUGCACAAUCUUAGAUUAAUAGCUUCUCCUGUACUAACUCUUGUACUAGUGACACCAGGUUCGGAGUUUGAUUCUUCUAUAUUUUGUCUUUUCUUGGUUCCCGUAGGGCCCACAUUUGUAUAUUUCAUACAUGUUAUGUAUGUAUCUAUAAUUGUUGGCCCAUGUGUCUCAUUUUAGAUUCCUUAUGACUUUCAUUGUUGUUACUUUCUGUAUACGGCUUAGAUUUCGGAUACCUAUUGGGGAGUUAUAUUUUGUCCCAUUAUGGCCCAAUUUUGGGUCGUAACAUAAGGGUUAGAUUCUGACGAAGUGAUGUGAUAUUUCUCUAAUGGACUAAGGGUAAAAUAAAUAGGUGGUAUAUGGACUUCGCGAGUCCCUCAUGGGUCCAACCUAGCUAAGUUGGCGUGUUUAUACAAGUUUUUGUCCAUGUUGGAGGCAUAUGCAUCACAUACGCUCUUUUCAUUAGUUUACUUGACUCGUACUAUUAUUGAAUUGAAAGGUGAUUUAGUGGCUUCACUAUCCUUUCUUUUAUUUGACUAUGGACUGAGUUACCUGAAUUUUAGUUGUAUAUUUGUCGUCGUUUAUAUUAGCUGCUCGUUCGGGUCUAUUUUAGGGUUAUUUCUCGCCAUCAUUUUAAAGUAGGGUCAGUAGAGAAUGCUGUUGAAAUAUAUGGAUUAAUACUCACGCUUGGGGAUUAUGAGAGAGUUGUUUCGCUGAUCCACUGCUUUUGGAUCUCCUCUAUCUUUCCUUUAUUUCAUGUUUUCGUCAUUUCCGAUAUGUUGUAGACGAGAUUGUACUUCAUCAUUUGUAGAGGCUUGUGACCUCCAGGUUUUUGGUGCAGGUUGUGCUGUUUCUCUUGCUCUUUUGAAUUCGAGUUAUCAAAGAAGUACCUUAUGAUUUGUGUUGUUUUAAAUUCAUUAUUUCCGUAUUUUCAACUCCAUUUUGAUAUGAUGUAUGAUUCGGGAUGUUUACUUAUCAUGGGAGUGAGAAGUGUCAUCACUUCUCAAAUUUUGAAUCAUGAAAUUUUUGCAAGAGAGAUGGAUCGCUCCACCGAAAAUGGGCCAUCAUCAUUUUCAGGAGUUCACCAUUUUCAAUUCUUCAGAAGUUUUUCAUCACAGGGGAAAAUGCAGUUUUUCUAUUGAGGACCAGGGGCGGCUCAAGAGAAUUCGCGGCCUAAGGCCAAAAUCGAACGGAGGCCUUACAUUUUUAAGAAAAAGAAAUUAUUUUUAUAAAGUCUAUUUUUAAAAUUAUAUAAUCGAUUUUUUCUAAAUUUUUUUUAAUUAAUAAUAGAGUCAAUGCAUUAAUUUAUUGACACAUAAUAUUCUGGACUAGUUAUAUCAAAUUCCAUCUAAACUUUUUUAUAUAAAAUAUUUAUUUUUUUUAUAAAUAGUAUUUAAUAUAUUUUUUAAAAUUUAUAAUUUAUUAUUACUAAAAAAAAAAUGGACCCUCAAAUUUUGGGACCUUAGGCUUCUUUUCAAAGGGUUGUGCCGCCCCUGGUAUGAGGACCACAAGAAUCUUGAAUGUUUGAUGCCAAGCGAAAAACCCACUUAGGAUAUUAUGAACAUAUAUUGUGAAUUCUUAAGAAAUCUAGUACAACAAGGAACAUUUCCUUUUCUCUUUUUGUUUUUACGCUCCAUCAUCAAAGCAUAAUUCCUUGAAAAUCCAAAAAGUAAAACAUCAAAGAUCACCUUAACCACAAAAAAAAAAAACGGAGAAAAGGGUGAGAGCUCGAGAGAUGAAAAGAGAAGAGGUUGUUUUGCGUCAUUGGUUGCACCAGUUCACCAAAGCUAGAAGCUCCUCACCGAAGCAGUAAAGAAGAUAAAGGGGGCUGACUGGUUUUGGAUUAAAAGGGAGUAUGGGUCACGUAAAAUAAAUUUGGAUGGCUGUUUUUAUUUAGUUAGGUUUUUUUAAUUGGACUAAUUUAAUUAGUGACAUGACCGCUUUCAUGGUUGGCCAUGUGUAAAAAAGUGAUAUGCUAAAAUUAGCUAUAUUUUUUAUUAAUAAAUAAUGACACGAAUGAGAACUUCAUAACCUGACAGUGGCAUAGAUUAACUUUUUUCUCAAAAUUUGAUUGCAUGUUUGAGGUUUUUUUUUCAUAUCUUGGAUAAAAUUUUCAUGUAUUUCUUCUUUCUUGCUGUAUUGAAAUUGUUCUUCUAGUUAGUUCUGAUUUUUUUUUUUUUUUUACCAAGUAAAGUUGUACUAUCUCUAAUGAUGAUCACUAAGUCUCCUUACGUGGUGCAGACACCAAAUCAAUAUACAUUUUUAAAUGCAUAAAUUGCUAGUAAAAUUGUUCCUCUAGACAUGUUAGCAAGGCAUCUUUAUCCCGUCUGCACCAGAAACACAUGCAACAUAUGUACUUUCAUCAUGUCUCGACAGGGGCGGCUCAAGCAUAUUCGUGGCCUCUGGGGAAAAUCAAAUGGAGGCCUUAAUUUUUUUUUAAAAAAAAUAUUUCUUUUUUAAUAAAUUCUUUUUUUAAAAUUAUAUAAUCUUUUUUUAUUAAUCUUUUUUAAAUAAUAAUAUAAUCAAUGCAUUUAAUCUUUCUUAAAAUAUAGUACUCUAUAUAUAAACUUCUUUUAAUAAUUCUUUCCUUUUAUAUUAAAAAUUCUUUUUUCUAUCAAUAAUAUGUAAUAUUUUUUAAAAAAUUAUAAUAUAUUAUCCGUAAAAAAUGAGGCUCCUCAAAUUUGGGGCUUUAGGGCGUACGCCUAUUUUUUCAUGUGGUUGAGCCCUUGUGUCUCGACGAGGAGCAUAUGCAAGUUUACUGUAUCAAAGGAUAGCUUAUUGCUAUUUUAUGCUAUUCCAAACACACUUGCAAAUUAGGUUCUUCAGUAUUUAAAUAAGAAGUGAUCAAUAUAAGGAUUUAACGUGGAAAAACUCCUUUCCCAAGAGUUAAAAAUCACAGCAUUUCUCUCUCAAUUUACCAAAAUUUGAGCCUUUACAAAUUUUAGAUUCUAACCACCAUAGCAUGGAGCUAACCAUAUAGCAUUUAUUCCGCUCUCUCUACAAUAGCCUUGGAGUAAUCGAUAAAGUUGUUGUCAUUUGAUCGGGAGGUCAUCGAUUUAAGCCUUGAAAAUAGCCUCUGACAGACAUGCAAGCUAAGGCUGUGUACAAUAGAUCUCUGUGAUCGGACCCUUCCCAGGACUUUGUGCAUAGCGGAAGCUUUACACACUGUUUGGAUGGUAGUUUUGCAUGUUAUGGUAUGGUACGAUUACUAAGAGAAUCAUGUUUGUUUUGAUUGUUCCUUAAAAUGUAUGGUAUGGUAUGGUUUAAUUUCUUAGUUUGGUAAUCAUGAAAACCCUCAUUUUAUGUAACCACCAAUCUGGUGUCCCAUGAUUUGCGUAUUUCUCUUUUCAAUUCUGCCCUUAUAGGAAUAUUAUAUAAUCUUAUUUUACCCUUUAUUCUAUAUUAUUUAACUCCACCUCCUAUCCCUCUCCGCAUCCCACGAGCCACCCCUUACCCCCUUAUAAUAAAUUAAUGAUUUGGUUGGAUGGUAAUGGUUUUAACUGGACAAUAAUGGUGGGGUGUGAUAGCUACCCAUGAAGAUGUGAGUUCAAUGGAUGGACACUAAAAGAUCAUGUUUGCCGACAUGAGGGUUGGUCAUAGCAACCAUAUAUGAUACUAUAAGGUACAUAGGAAUUCUCUAAGUACAUUGUACAUAUGUAUCAUGGAGAGUGAAGGGUACUUGGAAAUCUCCUACUUUUAUGGUAUCUUUAGUCCGUGCGGCUACACAGAUCGGGGCCCGUUCAGGGGGUUAUACUAGACCCAUAUAGCCUGUGGGUGGUUCUAAGACGGUUACCUACACAUACCCAGAUUAAUUGUUUUAAAUGCAUGCUAAAUUUGGUGCCAUUUUCCUCUAUGGUUAUAUAUAUAUAGGCGGCUGUAUCCCCACGCGAUGCAGGAAUCGACCAUUCCACUCCUCCUGCUUAGUGAUCGGAUUCGAGAUCAACUAUUGGACUGAAGUGGUGAGCUUUCAUAUUUCGAAAGGCUUAAUUUCAUAUCAUGGAUGUCUUUACAUACUUUGGUUAUUUUAUAGCUAUUGGUUUUGGCUAUGGUUGGGAGCAUAUUCCGACCGGAUAUUAUUUUUCUUUUGGUUAGAGGCUUUGUGGAACUACUAUGGAUUGGAAUGGGCGGUAUCAGUAUUGGUGUCAGCCUUAGUAUUGACAUUGGUAUUGAGGUUGAUACUGUUGGACUGAAUUUAUGAUUAUUUCAUCAUUUUAUAUUAUGUUACAUACAGGAACUUAGUUUUUAUAUUGAUUUGGUCAUGGUUGUUGGUUGGAAAUUGAUGGUUGGACUUGUUUGGUUUGUUCACAGUUAUAGACCUAUUCCAGAGUUUGGGAUCGUAAUAAACGUUAUCUUUCUAUACUUUCAGAGUUCAUCCGACUUAGGGUAUGCGUAUUUGGAGGUUGAGUUGGGUAACGGGGGUGGUCUCCGAUCUUGGUUGGACUUGGGAUGCCCAUUACGACAAGGCCAUGGUUUGGGUCGUGUCAGCAUCAGGCUACCCCCCUCUAAUUGAAUCCGAUUACAUUUAUUUUGGUCUACUCUUAUAUUAAUUUUGUUAAAAUUUACAUAAAUUUAACAAUUUAAUAUAUUUAUAUAGCAUAAUUUGUGAUAGAUUAGCAGGAAGAACAUUAUUUUAUUAACAAUUAUUGAUAAUUUUAACAUUUAUAAUAAUUAAGGGCAUUUUAGUUAACCUAUCAGUUACGAUACAAUACUAUACCGUCAAACUAAACAAUAAAAUUGUUAUUAAACAAUAAUCAAUGAUACAGUCCAUCCAAACAUUAUAUGAUUUUUACUGUUACUAGGUUAUUGGAUUAACGAUUUUUAAUGGUUUUAUAAAAUAAAAUUAUUGGUUUAUUGGUUCGAUUUUGUUUUUUCUUAUUGGGUUAUUGAGUAAACCGAUAACCCAGUAAGAAUAUACUAAAUUACUAUUUUAAACCUACUUAUAGACAGACAGACAGACAAACAGACAGAUAGAUCUUAGUUUCUAUUUAACUUCUACAAAUUAAUACACCUAUUAUUUCAAUUAUACACUCUUAAUUUCUCCUAUCUAACAUUUAGUUCAAAUUUAAAGAUUAUUGUAAAUUAAACACAUCACGUAGGAUUUUGGUUGCAACUAAGAUUCAAUUUUUUUCAUAUUAGUUACUCCCUCCGUUUAAAAAAGAAUGACCUACUUUCACUUGGCAUAAAAUUUAAGAAAAUAAAGAAGAUUUUUGAAUCUUGUAGUCUUAAAUUAAAGUUGUGUCAAAUGUAUCAAAAUGCCUUUUAAUCUUGUGGCCUUAAACAUGCUAUGUGAAAAGUUGAAAUUAAAGUAUUGUCAAAAAGGGAAAGGGGCCAUUCUUUUUUAAACGGACUAAAAAGAAAAGUAGGUCAUUCUUUUUUAAAUUGAGGGAGUACUAUUUUUUCUAAUUUAUGAACUUUUUCUUAUCGGUUAAACCGAAAAUCGAACCGUUAAGGACUAAAAUCAAAUUGAUAAAAAAUAUCUUAUUGAUUUAGCAUAUUUAAAAAUUGAAAACUGAUAAUACAUAAAAUUGAACCAAACCAACCGAUUCACACUCCUAAUUUAGGACAAAAUAAGUAAUUUAAUAUGAAAUAUUAAGCUAAAUAAGAUGAAUGAUCUUUUUAUAAACAGAUUAUUUAUUCUCAGAUAUCAAUUUUAGCACCAAAAACCAAAACAAUCACUAAAAACUAAUCCAACAUAACAUGUACUAAUCACGAGAAAAAGUAAAGGUUAUAAAUACCUUCAGAGAAUCAAACUAGACCACAAGAACAAUUUGGAUAAAUCUUGAUGGGCUAAAGUUGUGUCUCUGCAAUUGACUCUCUCAAGAUGAAGAUCCCCUAAAAAAACUCUCUUUGUUUGUGUCGUUGAAUUCUUUAUCUACAGCAGCAACAAUGUGAUGCUAUCAUCUCAAUUCAACUCAAAUUCAAUCAAAACUUUUCAAGAUUCCAAUCCUUGUUUGACUUGGUUUUCUCCACGCGAUUCGCUUGCUUUCUCCUAUUUUUCAAAUCUUCUUCCGUAUUGAUAAAUAUGAUACUCUUUCUAUAUUUUUCUUGCUCCCUAUUUCACAUGACUUGUCCCAAUCCCGAUUCUUGAAGGAAUCUUCCUUGCACUUGGAAUCUGCUUUGGUUUGAUCAGCAAUCUCUUCCAGUCCAUUAUGAAGGAGAUGAUUCCUUGAUGGUAUAUACUUCAAUCUGGAUAACAACUGUUGUAGAUUCAUUGCAUAUACUUCAAUCUCUUUAGACACUCCUAUUAUAGAUCUGGAUAGAAAUUAGGAACUUGUCCCUUAUGGUAUAUCUUGUUAUGAACACUAUCCGUCCUUAUUGAGACGUGAAGGACCUGAUUCUUAUGUACUUUGCUUGUCACUAAUUUGUUAAUCAUCAAAAGUUCAUAUUGCCCUAGUACAGGGGGCAGAUUGCUCUCCCUGAUACAUGGAGCUCUUUAGCUCGUUACUCCUAACUCAACACUUUUGAUUUACGUAAUCCAUUAACUAAUUGAAAGUUACCUCCGUGUAACCAAGAGAUUAAGAACUUGAGGCCACAAAUUUAGCCUCAUGCACAAACUGCAAGGUUAAAGCUUCUUAUUAAUAAGCAAUAUUGGUAUAAUCCUUUUUAUGACCAUACACAACGAGUGCUUAGUGUGCAUCAGACUGCCUCCAAAACUAAUAGGCAAAAUUAAUAAGCAAUUCCAACCAACAUCUGGUUGUAUACAUUGUUUGUGGGCAUGGUUACUGUGCAAGUGUCGAAUAGAGAGAGCAAUGGUGAACAGAAACGACGUUUUGUCAUCUCUCGCAAGACAGACAAUCG
rnacentral:lncRNA from 1 species